rnacentral:rRNA from 1 species
UACGAAGGGGGCUAGCGUUGCUCGGAAUUACUGGGCGUAAAGGGCGCGUAGGCGGCCUUAUAAGUCGAACGUGAAAUCCCCGGGCUCAACCCGGGAACUGCGUCCGAUACUGGAAGGCUUGAAUCCGGGAGAGGGAUGCGGAAUUCCAGGUGUAGCGGUGAAAUGCGUAGAUAUCUGGAGGAACACCGGUGGCGAAGGCGGCAUCCUGGACCGGUAUUGACGCUGAGGCGCGAAAGCCAGGGGAGCAAACGGG